rnacentral:pre_miRNA from 1 species
AUCACUUUGGGAUUUUGUUAAAACGAAGAUUCUCAUUUGGUAAAGCUAGGAUGAGGUUGGAGAUUCUUCAUUUCUAGCAAGCUCCUAGGUGAUCGUAC